UUUUCCUCUAAGAGUUUGAUAGUGUCUGGCCUUACAUUUAGGUCUUUAAUCCAUUUUGAGUUUAUUUUUGUGUAUGGUAUUGGGAGUGUUCUAAUUUCAUUCUUUUACAUGUAGCUGUCCAGUUUUCCCAGCACCACUUAUUGAAGAGGCUAGAGAUAUUCCCCUAAAGCCUCUGGAAGGAAACUAUCCUGGCCCUGACACCUUGAUUUUAGCCUGCCCCAGCCUCUUUCCAGAGGGCCAGACUUCAAAGUUGAUCUGCCUACUGGACACCUCCCCUUGAAUCUGCUACAGGUUUUUCAAUAUAGUUCCAGGGAUAUAUGAGAAUGCCCCCAUAGCAAGUGUGGAUGAAAAAUGCCGCAUGCCAUAUCAGUAAACAAAGGAUGCUGCGACCAUCAAGCCCUCAGCCAUUGCAGCUGCCCCCCAAAACUGCACCCAGAGGGGACUCAGGAUGAAGAAAAGCAGGAUACUGACCCUAGAUAGCUAAGGUGCAUAUCAAAGGAAUGUUUUCAAUGAGCCAAGACUCUUACAUCUUCCCACACGUAGAAAAGUGCUAAAUUCAUUAACUUGAGAUGUCUGGUUUUUCUUUAAUUAACAGAAAUCAGCUGUUCUAACCGCGGGUUUUGUUUUUGUUUUCAAAACUCAUAUAUUUGGCUCCUCCCUUUGGCUCUUUACAGCAGUCCCGAGCCCUCAGCAAGUCUGCCGAAUAAAACAUAAUUCUCAACUUUUAGGUUGUGCAUUAUUUUUUCAGUCAGUACAAGUAAAAUUAAUUAAUAUUAAUAAUUUUAAAAUAUAUAUACCUUUCCAGAAGCCAUCACCCUUGAUUUUUUCCCUCCCUCACUCCGUGUAGCUCAUCAGGUCAUUAAAUUUUGUUUGCACAUUUCCUAAAUCUCUUCAGUCUCUGCUUCUCUCCAGACUCCUGCUGUUUCCCUGAUUCAUCUGCAGAUGCCAAAGUCCUCUUAUCUGUAAUCCCAUUUUCCAUUAUCUUUACAAAGGAGAUCUGAGCCUGUCACUCCCUUGGAUAAACUCGGGACUUCAGGUAAACUCUAACCUGCUGGCCUUUUCUGUCUUAUCUCUCCUCACACUGAGAGGACAUCCUGAACUACUUUCUGUCCCUCAGAAAUGCCCUGCUUUCUUUCACUUUGAGGCCUUUCCACUUGUCCUUCCAUUUCUCCCCUACUUCCUAGCUUUGCUAACUCCAAAGCUGAGACCUGAGUGAGUGGGUGUCAUCUUCUUUAGCAACAGCUUGCAAGUUUGGAUUGGCUGUCCUUCCCCCUUCCUGUAUAUCCUCAU